AGACAGCAGUAGCCGCGGUAAUACGGAGGGUGCAAGCGUUAAUCGGAAUUACUGGGCGUAAAGCGUGCGUAGGCGGCUUCUUAAGUCGGAUGUGAAAUCCCUGAGCUUAACUUAGGAAUUGCAUUCGAUACUGGGAAGCUAGAGUAUGGGAGAGGAUGGUAGAAUUCCAGGUGUAGCGGUGAAAUGCGUAGAGAUCUGGAGGAAUACCGAUGGCGAAGGCAGCCAUCUGGCCUAAUACUGACGCUGAGGUACGAAAGCAUGGGGAGCAAACAGGAUUAGAUACCCGCGUAGUCCCUGUCUCUUAUAC
rnacentral:rRNA from 1 species